rnacentral:tRNA from 2 species
GGAGAGAUAGCAGAGUGGUCGAAUUGAAAUCGAGUGUGGCAGGGAUGCCACCGAGGGUUCGAAUCCCUCUCUCUCCG